AUAGAAUUCUUGUUGCGGUUAAAAAGUUCGUAGUUGGAUUUCAUACUGUUUGCGGGUGGUGCUUAACGGCGCCUACUCGUGGCAGUUUUUGCACACAAGGUCAGCAAUGUCCUGGUGUGCGGAUUACUUUGAACGGCUUAAGUGCUCAAGGCGAGUCUUCGGACUGAAUACCGGUGCAUGGAAUAAUGGAACAAGGUCUCGGCCGAGUUUUAUUGGUUUUGUCGGCUAAGACAAUGGUUAACAGGAACAGCUGGGGGCACUCGUAUCGCUGCGCGAGAGGUGAAAUUCGUGGACCGCAGCGAGACGCC
rnacentral:rRNA from 1 species